UGGGGAAUAUUGCACAAUGGGGGAAACCCUGAUGCAGCGACGCCGCGUGCGGGAUGAAGGCCUUCGGGUUGUAAACCGCUUUCAGCAGGGACGAAAUUGACGGUACCUGCAGAAGAAGCACCGGCUAACUACGUGCCAGCAGCCGCGGUAAUACGUAGGGUGCAAGCGUUGUCCGGAAUUAUUGGGCGUAAAGAGUUCGUAGGCGGUUUGUCGCGUCCGUUGUGAAAGCUUGGGGCUCAACCCCAAGUCUGCAGUGGAUACGGGCAGACUAGAGUCAGGUAGGGGAGAACGGAAUUCCUGGUGUAGCGGUGAAAUGCGCAGAUAUCAGGAGGAACACCGGUGGCGAAGGCGGUUCUCUGGGCCUGUACUGACGCUGAGGAACGAAAGCGUGGGGAGCGAACAG
rnacentral:rRNA from 1 species